AGGGAUCAUGUUGGCUGCCUUGGGCCUAUAUAAAAACUUGAUGGCCGAUUCUGAAAGAUGGCGGAUCGAAGCAGAAUGAAAUGGUUUUGUUCCAGAUGGGCCAGUGGACUAGGGAUUAAGGUGGUUCCGGGAAUUUAAGCUAAUAAAAUUCAAUUGGACCUGGGAUUUGGCCUUGGUUGCUGCUUCCGUUCAGGAUAAAUAAACCUAAAACUAAAUAAUAUAUAAUGAAACAUAAUUUCACUUAUAUUAAGUUUUUCCUUCAUAUUCACGACUUAAUCGUAGGAAUUUGGUAGAAAUGUAAGGACUAAGUUCACCAAAGCUCAUAGACUAACGUCUAGAGACUUUGGCGAGAAAUACCCCUUACAAUUUCUCCGGAAAUAAAAGUAAAAAUAUUCAUAAAUAAAAUUAUUUUGAAAAAAAAAGAAAAAAAUAUAUAUAUAAAGUGUAAUUUUCUAAAAGGAAUAAUAAAUAAUAAUGAUUUGAUCUUAGCUGGGAAUCCAAUUUGUCCUUUUAGAAGAUUACAAAAAGCUAGAUUAAAUUAAUUCAACUAAUUAUAUUUUAUUUCUCUUCCACAGGUUAUAAAUU